rnacentral:rRNA from 1 species
GAUAAACGCUGGCGGCGUGCCUUACGCAUGCAAGUCGAACGGCUCUUUCGGGAGCAGUGGCGGACGGGUGAGUAACACGUGCGUGACCUGACCAUCGGUGGGGGAUACCCGUCCGAAAGGGCGGCUAAGACCGCAUGUGCUCAUGGGGGGUGCUUCAUGAGGAAAACCGGAAGGUGCCGAUGGAGGGGCGUGCGGUCGAUUAGCUAGUUGGCGGGGUAAAGGCCCACCAAGGCCGUGAUCGAUAGCUGGGCUGAGAGGCCGAACAGCCACACUGGGACUGAGACACGGCCCGAG